UACAUAGGGCGCAAGCGUUGUUCGGAUUCAUUGGGCGUAAAGGGUGCGUAGGCGGCGCGGUAAGUCGGGUGUGAAAUCUCGGGGCUUAACUCCGAAACUGCAUUCGAUACUGCCGUGCUUGAGGACUGGAGAGGAGACUGGAAUUUACGGUGUAGCGGUGAAAUGCGUAGAUAUCGUAAGGAAGACCAGUGGCGAAGGCGAGUCUCUGGACAGUUCCUGACGCUGAGGCACGAAGGUCAGGGGAGCAAACGGG
rnacentral:rRNA from 1 species